rfam:Candidatus Magasanikbacteria bacterium RIFCSPLOWO2_01_FTLL_40_15 rifcsplowo2_01_scaffold_1240, whole genome shotgun sequence.
UCUGUAGUGUAAAAGAGCGCAAGGUGGAUGCCUUGACACUGUUAGACGAUGAAGGACGUAGCAAUCUGCGAUAAGCUUCGGGGAGGUGAUAAGCAACCUUUGAUCCGGAGAUUUCCGAAUGGGGGAACCCAUUCCCGACUUUUGUCGGGAGUACCGCACACCUAAUACAUAAGUGUCCGGAGUUAACCUGGGGAAGUGAAACAUCUCAGUACCCAGAGGAAAAUAAAAUACCAAACGUUGAUCUCACGUGAACGCCAUCUCGUCCCGCUUGUCCCGACUUUCUGUCGGGAACGAACGAGUCGGGGCGGAUCGACUUCGCGUGAGUUCUGCGUGUAUGAUUCCCUUAGUAGUGGCGAGCGAACGGGGACAAAGCCCAAACUUAUACUAUGUUAGUAUCGAGAACAAACGAGUCUUUGACUUUUUUAGACGCGGUACUUUAAAGGGUAGGCCGUUGUAGUAUAAGCGUAGUAAGAAUUAGGCUACAGUUUCCUAAUAAAACUGAUCCGACAAAUCAAUAUAUAAUCAAAGACUCCUGGAACGGAGCACCAAAGAAGGUGAUAGUCCUGUAGGUGAAAUAUAUCUGUUUGCGGAAGCCUUUUAUCUUGAGUACGGCGGAACACGUGAAAUUCCGUCGGAAACAGUCCCGACUAUGGGAUAAGGCUAAAUACUAACAGUGAUCGAUAGUGAACUAGUACCGUGAGGGAAAGGUGAAAAGUAGCCCGGUGAGGGCGGUGAAAUAGAUCCUGAAACCAUGCGCUUACAAUGAGCCGGAGUCCUUCGAUUCGACGCUGCGCGUCUCACUCAGGACAAGUCCCGUUAGUUAAAUAAAACGGACUUGCCCCGAGCGAGGAGCAUAGCGACGAGUCGAGGGGUGACGGUAUUCCUAUUGAAGAAUGAGCCUACGACUUACUGUUUUGUGGCAAGGUUAAACCCUUAUGGGGUGUAGCCGCAGGGAAACCAAGUCUUAAUCGGCGUUUUUCCACUUUAUUGUGGGAAAUUAGUCGCAAACAGUAGACCCGAAACCGGGUGAGCAAUCCAUGACCAGGAUGAGUCCCGACGAGAGUCGGGAGGAGGUCCGAACCCACUUGCUGUGCAACACAAGGGGAUGAGUUGUGGAUAGGAGAGAAAUUCUUAUCGAACUCGGUAAUAGCUGGUUCUCCUCGAAAUAGUUUUUGGACUAGCUGUGUAUGAUCCCUCCGGUGGUAGAGCACUGGAUGAAACUUGGGUCCUUCGGGAUACCAGUUUUAAUCAAACUCCGAAUGCCGGGGAUUAUAGUAUACAAGUCAGACCAUGCGGGCUAAGCUGCAUUGGUCAAAAGGGAAACAGCCCAGACCGCCAGUUAAGGUCCCUAAAUCAAUACUAAGUGUAAAAGGUGGUGUCAAUUCUCUAACAACCAGGAUGUUGGCUUAGAAGCAGCCAUCAUUUAAAGAUAGCGUAAUAGCUCACUGGUCAAGAGUUUUCGCGCCGAAAAUGUAUCGGGGCUAAGUAUUGUACCGAAACUGCGGAUCCCGACUAUGUCGGGAUGGUAGAGGAGCAUUCUGAACUGCUGCGAAGCAUACACCGUGAGGUGGUGUGGAGCGUUCAGAAGAGAGAAUGUAGGCACAAGUAGCACAUAUGAAGGUGAGAGUCCUUCACGCCGUAAACCCAAGGUUUCCAGGGCCACGAGAAUCGUCCCUGGGUUAGUCGAUCCUAAGGCCAGCCUAGCAAUGCUAGGGUAACCGAUGGAAGAGCAGAUUAAUAUUUCUGCACUUGGUAAAGUUUGUUAUUACAUCCGUAUCAUUAAACUAUGAGCGAAACAGGCAUUGUUCGUCCCGAAAGGGAGAGACCGACUGCAAAGUUGGACAAUUCAUGGAGAUGUGAUGCCGAGAAAUGUGUAAUAACGCUAGGCUUUAUCAAAUCGUACCGUAAACCGACACAGGUGGGUGAGUCGAGUAGACUAAGGCGAACGAGAUAAACAUCGUUAAGGAACUAGGCAAAACAACGGCCGUAACUUCGGGAUAAGGCCUUUCCGACGAAAGUCGGGAUCAACAAAACACCACUUGCAACUGUUUAUCAAAAACACAGCUCUCUGCUAACUCGCAAGAGGACGUAUAGAGGGCGAUGCCUGGCCAGUGUCAGAACGUUAAAGGGAGAGGUCAUUCUAAUUUAUUAGAGGCAGCCUUGAGCUGAAGCGCUGAUGAACGCCGGCGGUAACUAUAACCGUCCUAAGGUAGCGAAAUUCCUUGUCGGGUAAACCAUUUUCCGGUCGGAAAAUAACUUGCCCGAGUAUUGCAGUGAUGCGAUACCAGUAUUCCAACUCAUAACGGUGAAACCCUAAUUCUUAACUGAAUGGGCAAUACCGUGGGAAGUCCACUGAUAUUAAUUAAUAUCAUGACCCCGUAACGACUGACCCGAAAGGGGAGAGCCGCAGGUAACUGCGAGCUAACACGUUGGCUCUUACUAAAAAAACACGUCUAUGGAAAUUGACUCUUAUAUAACAGGUUUCAUCGAUGGUGAAGGCAGUUUUCUGGUUUCGUUUUCAGAACGGACAAGAAUGAAAAUAGGACUUGAAGUUAGACCGGCUUUUACAGUCAGUCAACAUGAGAGAAGUAAAAACAUUCUUAAAGAAAUUCAGCGGUUUUUUAACUGCGGAACAAUUCGUUUUAAUAAACGCGACAGAACAUGGAAGUACGAAGUCAGAAGUUUGGCUGAUCUUGUAAAAAAGAUUAUCCCGCACUUUAACUUGUUUCCAAUCCGAACUUCUAAACGUUCAGAUUUUGAACAGUUUAAAUUAGUUUGCGAGUUAAUGAAACAGCGUAUCCACCUUUCCCAAAACGGAAUUUGUAAAAUUAUUGACGUUGCGUACUCUAUGAAUAAUAUGGGCGCAAGACAAUAUGAUAAGGGAAAUCUCCUAAAGAUUGUGAGUAAGAUGAAAGUAUAGUCUGAUCUCCGUGGGAACGCGGAGUUAACACAAUUUGGAGUUCCGACCCGCACGAAUGGCAUAAUGAUGAGUGGACUGUCUUGACGAUGUACUCGGCGAAAAUGCAAGUGUCGUGAAGAUGCGACAUACCCGCAACUAGACGAAAAGACCCCGUGAAGCUUUACUAUAGUUUGAUAUUGGUGCAUUGCUUCGCUUGUUCAGCAUAGGUGGGAUCCCGACGAAAGUCGGGAGUCAGUGAGAUACCACCCUUGCGUAGCGAUGUAUCUAAUCUUUGUCCUUGAAUCAGGAUAGAGAGACAGUAUCUGAUGGGUAGUUUAACUGGGGCGGUUGCCUCCCAAAAUGUAACGGAGGCGUUUACAAAGGUUGGCUUAGUCCGGAUGGAAAUCGGACUGGACGUGCAAACGCAAAAGCCAGCUUUACUGAAAGGGCUACCACCCGAUCAGUCGCGAAAGCGGAAGUUAGUGAUCCGACCGUACGAUAUAGGACGGCGGAAGCUCAACGGAUAAAAGCUACUCCGGGGAUAACAGGCUGAUCGCGCCCAAGCGUCCACAGCGACGGCGCGGUUUGGCACCUUAACAUAUCGGGGUGCACAAACAGUAAUGUUUAUCCCAAUUCUUUUCGUUAAAAUUUUAAAUUUAGAUAGAUUAAGAGACACAAAUUCGGCUUAUAACGGUGAACCCGUCAGUGAUUGACCCACAAUCACCCGGCAAUACCGUGGGAAGUUUCCCGACAAUGUCGGGAUAACCCCGUAACGACUGACCCGAAAGGGGAGGUUUUUCCUGAUUAAUGAUCAGGAGAGACAACACGCCGACUCUUGCACAGUCAAACUGAGAUUACGCGGAUCACGUGCCGACUUGUCGGCAUCCGCUACCAUCCAGAGCAAGAAGAAGAUAUAGUCUACGCCACAAGAAACUGUGGAACAAAGUACGAUGUCGGCUCAUCGCAUCCUGGGGCUGGAGAAGGUCCCAAGGGUUUGGCUGUUCGCCAAUUAAAGCGGUACGCGAGCUGGGUUCAGAACGUCGUGAGACAGUUCGGUCUCCUAUCUGCUGUGGGCGUUGAAUAUUGAGAGAACCAAUCCCUAGUACGAGAGGACCGGGAUUGACGAACCUCUGGUGUGCCAGUUGUCCGCAAGGCAUAGCUGGGUAGCUAAGUUCGGCACGGAUAAGCGCUGAAAGCAUCUAAGUGCGAAGCCGUUCUUAAGAUUAAUAUUCGUUAUGAGGUCUCUGGUAGACGACCAGAUUGAUAGGCGCUAGGUGUAUGCCGAGGCGUACUAAUUGACCCAACACUACAGAAG